rnacentral:rRNA from 1 species
AGCAGCCGCGGUAAUUCCAGCUCCAAUAGCGUAUAUUAAAGUUGUUGCAGUUAAAAAGCUCGUAGUUGAAUUUCGGGGUCGGUAGAUUGGUCAUGCCUCUGGUAUGCACUGGUCUUACUGGCUCCUCCUUCCUGAUGAACCGUAAUGCCAUUAAUUUGGUGUUGCGGGGAGACUGGACUGUUACUUUGAAAAAUUGAGUGUUUAAAGCAGGCUAACGCUUGAAUACAUUAGCAUGGAAUAAUGAAAUAGGACGUUCGAUCUUAUUUUGUUGGUUUCUAAGAUUGACGUAAUGAUUAAUAGGGAUAGUUGGGGGCAUUAGUAUUCAAUUGUCAGAGGUGAAAUUCUUGGAUUUAUUGAAGACUAACUACUGCGAAAGCAUUUGCCAAGGAUGUUUUCAUUAAUCAAGAACGAAAGUUAGGGGAUCGAAGACGAUC